rnacentral:rRNA from 1 species
AAUUUNACGCUGGCCGGCAUGCCUANUNUAUGUCUAGUNCCACNGCNNCUCAAAGGAACUUGNNCCUUGNNUGGCUAGUCGGCGGACGGGUGAGUAAUGCCUAGGAAAUUGCCCUGAUGUGGGGGAUAACCAUUGGAAACGAUGGCUAAUACCGCAUGAUGCCUACGGGCCAAAGAGGGGGACCUUCGGGCCUCUCGCGUCAGGAUAUGCCUAGGUGGGAUUAGCUAGUUGGUGAGGUAAUGGCUCACCAAGGCGACGAUCCCUAGCUGGUCUGAGAGGAUGAUCAGCCACACUGGAACUGAGACACGGUCCAGACUCCUACGGGAGGCAGCAGUGGGGAAUAUUGCACAAUGGGCGCAAGCCUGAUGCAGCCAUGCCGCGUGUAUGAAGAAGGCCUUCGGGUUGUAAAGUACUUUCAGUCGUGAGGAAGGUGGUGUUGUUAAUAGCAGCAUCAUUUGACGUUAGCGACAGAAGAAGCACCGGCUAACUCCGUGCCAGCAGCCGNNGGUAAUA